GACGUAGGGCGCGAGCGUUGUCCGGAUUUAUUGGGCGUAAAGAGCUCGUAGGCGGUUUGUCGCGUUGUUCGUGAAAACUCACAGCUUAACUGUGGGCGUGCGGGCGAUACGGGCAGACUGGAGUACUGCAGGGGAGACUGGAAUUCCUGGUGUAGCGGUGGAAUGCGCAGAUAUCAGGAGGAACACCGGUGGCGAAGGCGGGUCUCUGGGCCGAUACUGACGCUGAGGAGCGAAAGCGUGGGGAGCGAACAGG
rnacentral:rRNA from 1 species